GAGCGUUAUCAAUUGAGUUGCGCCUCGUGGGUGACUCCCUCCCCUCUUGUUUCUUCCUCUUCUUCAAAACACCGUCCCCUUUGGUUCGGCUCUCGACGGUAAGCAGCAGCUCCCUUCGAUUCGAUCGCCCGUGCUUUAAUCAAGCCUAUCUCUGUUCCCUUCACGGCAGCAACCCCCGCGCGACCCGAUCCCAUCUUGCAAGCCUCUCUGUCUCCUCCGCUUCCUACCGUGUCAAGCGUUCUCGUCCCCUUCCGAGUGCUUCCGCCUCUCGGUUCCACGGCCGGAACUUGCUUUGCUAUCGGCCGGCCGUGCUCAACUUCGCCGGUUCCUUCAGGGGGUGAGCUUUCAUUCGAGCGACGACGACGCGGAAUCCUCUCGUCUUGCGGCCUCGACUCGAGCUGGCCCUUCUACUUCUUCCCUAGGGCUCUCGUCUCAGCCUCUUUCUUCGAUCUUCUUCUUCACUCGGUAGUUGAGCUUGCUUAUGGCGUCGACUGCCCCAUCCUCAGAUGUCAAAGGCCCCAAAACAGCGCUGAGCAAACAGGUAAUAAGCCAUGAAGUUUCAAUUGCGGAGUUGAGCAACCUCUCCUCUUCUCGGGCUGUGUACGUGAAAACUGGGAACCUAUACUUCCGGACAAACAUUCAAAAGGCAAAAGCAUUGGAGCAGAACCAACUUGAAUCAGCCAAAGCAAAGCUAGAGAAGCUGAAUGCGUCGUGACACAGCUCACCCUUUCCAGUGUUUCACAACUUUUUGAAAUGUUAUCGUCCGACUUGACCACAAAGAUGAUUCCUAUGGAAGCAAGAACUCCGAAGGAUUGAAGAGGUGCAAGAAGUUGCCAAGAGAUGGGGGGGCUUUUGCUCUACUUGCUGGGGAUUACACUGGCCCUUAUCCAAGUUAGGGCGCUUGAGAAGAAAUGGGGAGAUUUGAUGGAGAAGAAAUGAGGGACAAAAAAGCCGUGAUUGGUUCUUAAAGUGUCAAACGACCAGCACGUCUAACUGCAUUAAGCUGUUAACCGUUGUGGUAAGAAACACUCAAUGUUCGGUGCUCUUGCUAUUUGAAGAUGGUGAUGAUUGAAAUACAUUCCUCAACGUCACUAUUUAACUAUUCUACUAGUCUUGAACAACUUAUAGACGGGCUUAGGAUUAGUCUUUGGAGCAAAUACUUCUGUUCAUGCUUCUGGUUGUUCACUGCUGCUCGCUCUCUAUUAUCAGUGCAUCUCUACCGGUUGUGGUGCUCUCGCUUUGGGUUUGUAUUGUAUUGUGAUUGUUAUCGAUUAUUAUACUAUGUACUUUAAUUUAGUGUGUUUCUCCGAGCGAAUGAGAAAUUGAGAUGCAGGUUUUUAUUUUUUA